rnacentral:rRNA from 1 species
CGGGGGGGAGCAAGCGUUGUUCGGAUUUACUGGGCGUAAAGGGCGCGUAGGCGGCACCGCAAGUCGACUGUGAAAUCUCCGGGCUUAACUCGGAAAGGUCAGCCGAUACUGCGGGGCUAGAGUGCAGAAGGGGCAACUGGAAUUCUCGGUGUAGCGGUGAAAUGCGUAGAUAUCGAGAGGAACACCUGCGGCGAAGGCGGGUUGCUGGGCUGACACUGACGCUGAUGCGCGAAAGCUAGGGGAGCGAACGGGAUUAGACUACCCCGGUAGUCCUAGCCUUAAACGAUGAAUGCUUGGUGUCGUGGGGUUUUAUAGUCCCCGGGUGCCGUCGCUAACGCUUUAAGCAUUCCGCCGUGGGGAGUACGGUCGCAAGACUAGA